ACAGAUUUGAAUAGAAAAACAUGGAUUGUACCUAGUGUAUCUUUUUGAUCUAUAGUGUUAUCGCCAUGAGUGAACCUUUACUCGUAUUUAUGUUACUGGGAAACCUUCUAAACAAAUCUAAAUAUAUAAA